ACGGGAGGCAGCAGUGGGGAAUAUUGCACAAUGGAGGAAACUCUGAUGCAGCGACGCCGCGUGAGGGAAGAAGGUUUUCGGAUUGUAAACCUCUGUCCUUGGUGACGAAAAUGACGGUAGCCAAGGAGGAAGCCACGGCUAACUACGUGCCAGCAGCCGCGGUAAUACGUAGGUGGCAAGCGUUGUCCGGAAUUACUGGGUGUAAAGGGAGCGUAGGCGGGUCGGCAAGUCGAUUGUUUAAACUAUGGGCUCAACUCAUAGUCGCGAUCGAAACUACCGAUCUUGAGUGAAGUAGAGGUAAGCGGAAUUCCUAGUGUAGCGGUGAAAUGCGUAAAUAUUAGGAGGAACACCAGUGGCGAAGGCGGCUUACUGGGCUUUAACUGACGCUGAGGCUCGAAAGCGUGGGUAGCAAACAGGAUUAGAUACCCUGGUA
rnacentral:rRNA from 2 species